AAAGAGCUAAUUAUUUAUGAAAGUUAUUGUUGUAAAAAUAUUUUUAAUAAUUAAUUUGAAAUGAAAUGUUAAUCGUUUUUAAAUAUAUCUAGUUUUUUUAGAAAAAAAUUUAAUUUUAAAUUUAAAAAUUUUUUUUGAUUAAUUAUUAUUAAAAAAAUUUUUUAAAUUUUAUAUUUUAGGGGAUAAGCUUUAAAUUAAAUUUUUAUAGAAUUAUUUAAAUUUAAUUGAAAUUUAUAUAAUUUAAAUUGUUAAAAAAUUAUAAUUUAUUAUAAAUAAUUUCAUUAAAUAAAAAAUUUAAAUAAAAAUUAUUUAUUUAUAAAAAAAUAUUUUUUUAUAAGUUAAAAAUAUUUAUAAUGAUAAAAUUAGUAUAUUUAAAUAAUAAUUAAUAGUUAUUUUAUUUAAUAAUAUUAAAUAAAUAAAAUAAAUAAUUGAAAUUAAUUCGGCAAAUAUUUAUAUUCACUUGUUUAUCAAAAACAUGUCUUUUUGUUUUAAUUUAAAGUCUAAUCUGCCCACUGAUAAUAUAAUUAAAGGGCUGCAGUAUUUUGACUGUACAAAGGUAGCAUAAUCAUUAGUCUCUUAAUUGGUGACUUGUAUGAAAGAUUGAAUGAAAUAUAAACUGUCUCUCAUUUAAUUUAUAGAAUUUAAUUUUUUAUUUAAAAAGUUAAAAUAUUUUUAAAAAGACGAGAAGACCCUAUAGAGUUUAAUAAUUUAAUUUAUAUUAAUUUAUUUGUAAAAUUAAUAAUUUUUAUAAGUUGAAUUAUUUUGUUGGGGUGAUAAAAAAAUAAAAAAAACUUUUUUUUAAGUUUUAACAUAAAUAAUUGAUUUUUUGAUCCAAUAUUAUUGAUUAUAUGAUUAAAUUACCUUAGGGAUAACAGCGUUAUUUUUUUUUUUAGUUCAAAUAAGAAAAAAAGUUUGCGACCUCGAUGUUGGAUUAAGAUAAAAUUUAAAUGCAAAAGUUUAAAAUUUUUG
rnacentral:rRNA from 1 species